UACGUAGGGUGCGAGCGUUGUCCGGAAUUAUUGGGCGUAAAGGGCUCGUAGGCGGUUUGUCGCGUCGGGAGUGAAAACACUGGGCUUAACCGAGUGCUUGCUUUCGAUACGGGCAGACUUGAGGCAUUCAGGGGAGAACGGAAUUCCUGGUGUAGCGGUGAAAUGCGCAGAUAUCAGGAGGAACACCGGUGGCGAAGGCGGUUCUCUGGGAAUGUUCUGACGCUGAGGAGCGAAAGUGUGGGGAGCGAACAUG
rnacentral:rRNA from 1 species